GGCGCGCCGCGCGCCGGCGAGCGUCUCGGCGUUCUGAGCGCCGGGGCUCAGCCGGUGUACGGCACCUCGGCCUGCCA
rnacentral:tRNA from 1 species